CAUGCAAGUCGAACGAUGAAGCCCAGCUUGCUGGGUGGAUUAGUGGCGAACGGGUGAGUAACACGUGAGUAACCUGCCCCUGACUCUGGGAUAAGCCCGGGAAACUGGGUCUAAUACCGGAUAUGACUUUUGACCGCAUGGUUGAGGGUGGAAAGAUUUAUCGGUUGGGGAUGGACUCGCGGCCUAUCAGCUUGUUGGUGAGGUAAUGGCUCACCAAGGCGACGACGGGUAGCCGGCCUGAGAGGGUGACCGGCCACACUGGGACUGAGACACGGCCCAGACUCCUACGGGAGGCAGCAGUGGGGAAUAUUGCACAAUGGGCGCAAGCCUGAUGCAGCGACGCCGCGUGAGGGAUGACGGCCUUCGGGUUGUAAACCUCUUUCAGUAGGGAAGAAGCGAAAGUGACGGUACCUGCAGAAGAAGCGCCGGCUAACUACGUGCCAGCAGCCGCGGUAAU
rnacentral:rRNA from 1 species